GGUCAUUUGAUGAGUAUGUAUUCUGAAUCUAAAGUUGAUUAAUAACCACUUAGCUCUAGAAUUAUUUGAGACCCG